CGUGGGUAACCUGCCCAAGAGAUCGGGAUAACACCUGGAAACAGAUGCUAAUACCGGAUAACAACAGAUGAUGCCUAUCAACUGUUUAAAAGAUGGUUCUGCUAUCACUCUUGGAUGGACCUGCGGUGCAUUAGCUAGUUGGUAGGGUAACGGCCUACCAAGGCGAUGAUGCAUAGCCGAGUUGAGAGACUGAUCGGCCACAUUGGGACUGAGACGCGGCCCAAACUCCUACGGGAGGCAGCAGGG
rnacentral:rRNA from 1 species